CCUCAAAAACUUAUAAAUAAAGGUUAGAACUGAAACAUUUCCAAUUGUUUUGAAAAAAACUGGGGAGGAUGUUAAUACCCUUGAUCUCUGUGAGUUACAAGCAUAAUUAAUUUUUGUCAUAAGGUUUCAUGAAUCCUGC